rnacentral:rRNA from 2 species
UACGUGAGGGGCAAACGUUGUUCGGUGUCACUGGGCUUAAAGGGUGCGUAGGUGGUUGCGUAAGUAACGUGUGAAAUCCCCCGGCUUACCCGGGGAAUUGCGCGUUAUACUGCGUGACUUGAGGGCUGUAGGGGAAUGGGGAACUCCAGGUGUAGCGGUGAAAUGCGCAGAUAUCUGGGGGAAGGCCGGCGGCGAAGGCGCCAUUCUGGGCAGUUCCUGACACUGAGGCACGAAAGCGUGGGGAGCAAACAGG